GGGCAGGGCCGAGAGGCUGGGCAGCCAGUUUCACCCUCGCACGGGGUACCUGGCAAGGCCAGCAGCCAGCCGGAGGUGACGUCCUCAGUGGAGAACUGUGGACACUGGAAACCGUGUGGCCAGAAGGGGAAACGAUCAGGCCUCCGGUGGAGACCAGCCUGGGUGGGGUCUGCCAGGGUCAGCUGUCUUUGCUUCAUGCCGGGACAGAGAUGUGUGUGUGUGACAAAGCAUUUGAUAGCACGCCAAAAGCUUCCUCCAUUGAGCGCGUGUGAAGUGUCUGACCGGGUCGGAAGCCUUCUUGUUCUGAGCGCAUGUGUUCACGCAGACAGAGGUGCGGGGGCCCCGUUCUGCCCUCGCGCAGCUGAACUGAAAGGCCUCCCGCUCGCUCAUCGGGCUGGCGGCUCGGCCACAAAGUGCAUCCGGCGUGCCUCUGGGACUCCGCUUCGUGCUGUAUCCCACGGUGGCCCAGGCGCGUUGGGGUUAGACGGGUACCGGUCAGAUGCACAGGUGCCCCACACCCCUGCUGUGGCUUCGGCAGUAGAGACAGGAGGCACCCACGUGACAACAGGAACACAGGCAGGGGUGUUGGGGCAGCCCUCAGGGUCUCCAGACCCCCGCCCAAUACCCACAGCAGCCCAGGAAGGGAGGGCAGAGUCCCAGGUGUCACCGGCCAGGGAGCUCCCAGGAGCUGCCCCUCCCUGAAGUCACGGGACAGGAAUGACAGGUCAGAGGACUGCCAGAAGCUGCCACCCCUGUGAUCACAGCGUUGCCCAGGCUGCAGGGGCUCUAUCAUGGGGUCUGCGAGAGCCAGCCUGCCUGCCUUGUGCUCACACCUGGCUUUGCUCUCUGCAGAACCCAGCACAUGUGAUUUUGUGUGACACGCCGACAGCCGGGCUGCCAGGACAGGAGGCCUGCCCUGGAGGAGUGGCUGCAGGAGACGGCGGGGUGGGCACCUGGGAGCCCGUCCAGCCUGGUCCCAAAGGCAUCGCCGACCCUGCCGUCCUGAUUUCAGCUCCCUGCAGAGUAAAUCAGAAUAAACCGCACCCAGGCGUUCACGAACGAACACACGUCAAGGCUUGCAGUUCACCUCUGUCUUUGCUAACUUCAUCCUAUUUUCUUCUAACGUGAGAGCUUAUUAAUUCAAUAUUUGUGUUUUUGAAUAACUUUUCUCCUUUUUAGUAACUAAAAUCACUAUUAGUAAAAUGCAUUUACUAUUUUAGUAACAGAAAUAUACUUACCAAUCAUGUUUAAAAUACAGUGAUGUGGAAAAUUCA